UCUUGGAUUAUUAGCCGAUUGUGAUUACAUUUAUAUUAUUUGCUCACAUGCUUUGUCACUUUAGAGCCCUGAAAACCCUGUUCAUUGUUGCUAGGAGAUGGGUGGCUAUGGCAACAGUGUGGGUCAGAGCCAGAUGGAAUGCCUAAAGCAUAAUCAGGUUUAGGCUUUUUUUUGAUCUCCAAAUGACUCCAUGGCAGUCCUGAGCACGGAAGCCCCAAAUCACUGCCUCUUCAGCUUGUUUCAAAAGACAUAUUCCUUGAAGGUAGAAUCACUGUCAGCAGAGUCCUUGCCAGGAACGACUUUCCAGUGAAGGAGACAAUGGAAAUUUGGACAACAUUUUGAAAACCACUAACAGUAACAACGUGUUAAUAAUAAUUAAAACAUUAAGAUGAAGAAGACAAAGAAGGAGAAAUAUGAAGGGAUUGCUAAUUGCUGGUGUUCUGCAUUUGUUUUCUUAUUUAAUCCUCAUCAUAACCUUAUGAGGUGGGUAACAAUUUG
rnacentral:lncRNA from 10 species